UACAGAGGGUGCAAGCGUUGUUCGGAGUUACUGGGCGUAAAGAGUGCGUAGGCGGUUUUCUAAGUUUGGUGUGAAAUCUCCCGGCUCAACUGGGAGGGUGCGCCGAAGACUGGAAGGCUUGAGUAUGGGAGAGGUAAGCGGAAUUCCUGGUGUAGCGGUGAAAUGCGUAGAUAUCAGGAGGAACACCUGCGGUGUAGACGGCUUACUGGACCAUAACUGACGCUGAGGCACGAAAGCGUGGGUAGCAAACAGG
rnacentral:rRNA from 1 species